ensembl:lncRNA
UUAGGGGUUAGGGGCAGGAAACGGGGGUUUAGGGGCAGGGGAAAUCCUUAUAGGAAAAAAUAAACGGGGUUUUGGGUGGAAAAAGCGGGAUUUGGGGAUUCUCGGGUUUUUUUUGGGGGGGAAAAGUGGGAUUUAGGGGACGUAAAAAUAGGGUUUUUAGGGAUCCCCAUAGGGUCUGUUGCCAUAGGAAACCCCACAGAUCCCAUAGACCCCAUUGCAAACCCCAUCACCCCAUUGCAAACCCUAUGGGACCUAUUGGAGACCCCAUAGCGGACCCCAUGGGCUCCACAACCCCAUAGAACCUAUUAGAAACCCCAUAACGAACCCCAGAAUCCCAUAGAAUCUCCCGCAAACCCCAUAGGAAAACCUAUAGACCCCAUUAUGCUAUUGAAAACCCCGCGGGAAAACCCAUUGCAAACCCCACAGGACCCCAUAACACCAUAGCGGACCCCAUAGGAGACCCCAUAGACCCAUUGCAAACCCCAUAGGAAACCCCAUUGCAGACCCCAUAGAAAACCCCAUUCAUCCCCCCCUUCCAAUCCCCUUCAUUCAUCCCCCGGAGGACUCCGCGCAUAGAGCGGCCCUCUCUAUGCUCCCUGCGCACCUCCCCACUUCCGCUCUGGAUCCGCAAAAGGGCGGGGUUACAAUCGGAAGUGAGCGGGCGGAAGUGGGCGUGGCUAAGAGCGGAAGUGGGGCUUUGAAGCCGCCAUGCGGGACCGGACGCGGGAAAUCCUCCAGGAUUACAUCCCCAGCGAUGAGGAAGGAGAAGAGACGGUGGCGUUGGUGGGGUUGAAGGCGUCCAGCGAGGAUGAGACGCUGUUGAAGGUGGGGUUAAUUAGUGGGUGAUUAGGAGUUAAUUAGGGGUUAAUUAGCGCUUAAUUAGCACGGCGGUGGGGAAGUAGAGCCGGGGUUGUGGCUUGGGGAAUGGAGUUGAUGGGGGGAUGUGUGGGGAGGUGUUGAGCACCUGUUGAUUGGCGACUAAUUCAUGAUUAAUUAACAGCCUCAUUAAUUUCUUAGCCUAAUUGGAUAGCCUCGUAGCUAAUUAGAUGCUAAUUAAGUUGCUGGGGGGGCGGUUGGGGUUGUGGACACCGACGUGUGGCGCAUGGUUUUCUGGGAUGGCUUGUAGAGCGUGAUUAGCAUGUCAUUAGCAUGUCAUUAGCAUGGAAUGAAUAAUUAGAGUGUGUUAAUUAACACGCUGGUGGGCAUCCGGGGGGUCUGUGAGCUCAUUAACCCCAUCGUUUAAUUAGGUUUAAUUGGGGGCACGCGUGGAGGUGAUGGAACACAAGCAGGCAUGCUGCUUGAUCCUGUUUAGGACCUCAUUUGCAUGUAAUUAGCAUAAGAGGAGGGCCAAGUACCCUGAACUGCUUUAAUUAGCGUCCAACUAAUUAGCGUCGAGUAUGUAGUUAAGGCACUGGGGGGCGAGGGGGGGGGUUAAUUGGGGUAAAUGGCAUUGGGAGACCCCCGAGGUGCCCCAACCCCCCUAAUUAGCAUCCAAUUAACAUCUAAUUAGCAUCCAAUUAACAUCUGAUUAGCAUCUAAUUAACGCUUGAGUAGCAACUGAUUGUGGGGAGGUGGGGGAAUGGGGGUUAAUGGUGUCAUUAACGAGGGGUUUAAUGGGGGUAAGUUGCAUUGGGUGCCCCGAACCCCUUAAUUACCAUCUAAUUAGCAUACAGUUACCAUCUAAUUAGCAUCUCAUUAGCAAUUGACAGUGUGGAGGUGGGGGAAUGGGCGGUGAUGGUGUCAUUAAUGAGGGGUUUUAAUGGGGUUAAUGGGGGGAAAUGGCACUGGAAAAC